AGGUGAACCAGCGGAAGGAUCAUUA
rnacentral:rRNA from 1 species